rnacentral:lncRNA from 1 species
UGGAGACACAGUCAAACCAUAUCAAAGAGUUAUGCUGCUUUGGUAAUCUUCCUGUUGAAAUAAAUUAACAGUGAAUCAACAUCCUGUAUCUUGCUAUCAUGUUGGCUAUAAACAAUCCAUUAAAAUGUCAACUCAGAGUACAGAAGAGAAAUGAUGCUGGACAAAUGUAUGAUGCUGAUAAAUGAUCUGAUUGUGACCUCAAACCAUGAGCAAGUAAAACAGAGUGGAACUCUUCUCACCAACUGUAAUUACUGGGCACCAGCCCACAAACCUUACUGCUGUGUCUGAAUUCUGCUUAGCCUAAAACUAAAUUACACACUGGACUGCCAACCUGCCAGAUAUUUUUUCUAUGUUGCAAAUCAUCUUCUUGCUAAGGAGUCAAAGACUUUGUUCAUUUGGAGUGGUUGUUCUGUUGAAAUUACUGUGCACCUGCUGAAGAGCUAAAGUACCCAUGGCACAUAGUCAAAGAAGGCAACUGCUCCAUUCUCCUAUCUCUGCAGCCCUUACAUGAUAUGGAAGGAGAGAAACUAGACCCCAGUCCAAAUCAGGGCAGCAUUCUUUGACAACACUGACUUUAACAACAUGAUGGGCCAUUUUUUCCCGCACCACAAAUUGAAGAAGUUUUCAAAAUUGGGCAAGGCUGAUCUGAUUUACUCACCCAAUUGCAUACAAGAAGCUGUAAUUGAGAGUGCAGACUUAGCUGGGCCUCCCGGGAAAAGCCCUUAUUUUUCUCUUUCCUCAUGGAGUCUUAAAGAACAAGAAAGAACAUUCUUGACGGUGUCUGUGACUUGAUCUCUCCAAGAGGAAGAUGCACAGGAGGUCUAAACGCUUACCAUCUAAAGAGUGGUGCUUGGACCCACAGCAUCCUCAUCCCCUGAAAGCUCCUUAGAAAUGUGGAGUCUCCAUCCCCACCCUAGGUCUACUGAAUUAGUCUUCAUUUUAAUAAGAUCCUUGGGUGAUUCACAUGCACUAUCUAUCGUGUGUAAAUUCUAUCAGGUGUAAAUAACUGUUUAGUUACAUACAGGAAAUUGCUCUCCUGUAACAUGACAGAUGCAGAUGUAUCUUUGAAAUACCUAAAAAUGUGCCCUUCUGAGGAAAACAUUAGCUCUGUUCUGCAGAAAAUUGUGACUAGAGAUAUGAAGUGAUUUGUUCAAAAUUACAUUGUUAAUAAUUCCAAGACCACAGAUAGAAAAUAAACAUCCUGCCGCAAUAUAGGCU